GUGUCUUGACCUCUCCCUAAAGAACGAAGAACAAACUAAAUUCAUCUCAGAAUGACUGUAAAUCAUCCAGACGGAGUAGCCUGCCACCUGAAUUGCUCAUAGGAAAUGACAUUAAAGGAAGACUUCAAAGGAACAUUAAAAACUUGGAACCCAUUCACCUGAGGCGCCCGAAAAAGAGACCAUCCAUAUUUCCAGGAAAAGAGUUCAUGUGACGUCCAGACCAAGUGACAGGAAACCUGGAUUCCAGUCCUGGCUCUGCCUCACAGUGCCGUCGUGUGACGCAGGGCAAGACCCAGACCCUGUGGUCCACGGUCUCCUUUGUCUGGACUUCUGCCGAGGUUGGAGUGAUGACCUGUGGUUCUUUUUGUCUCUGAAGAGCUUGCAGAUCCUUUCCAAAUACAGCCGAUUUUAACGGUCUCCUGUACUACAGGUGCACCUGUGGUGGAAGUCUGGGACACAUCCGCUGCCUUCAUCUUCAGAGACACACUCUCUUCACCUCACUGGCUUACAUGGGAUUGAGUGACCUGCUCCUCUGUUCACUGGAAGCCAUGUUGUUUCCUUGAGAUUCACUCCUCCGUGGCUUUACAUUAGUUGAAUGCUGACGUUAACUUUUUUACUUCUCUAUUUUAGUUUAACUACUAGGGGCAUCUAUUAAUGAUAUUUCAACCUUCCUACCAUGCCACUGACCUGCAUCUAGGUCCGUUCAUUUGUUUGUGUAUUCAUUCAACAAACAUUAAGCUUCUCCAGUGUUCCAAGCCCUGCAAAGGCUGGGAUUGAGGUUGCAGAGUGGACAAGCAUGUGUUCUGUCGUAAUAAUCACAACAUUGUGUACUCUAUUCCAAUAAAAGCCAACGCAGUGUCAUGAGACCACAUAGGAAGCAGCUCUUUACUCUAUUACGUUCCUGAAACAGAAGAUCUUGUCUCCUGACCCUUAAAUCCACUACUAACCAAUAAACCAUAUUCUGAUCAGAACUCUCUGCUUGCUUCCAUAUUAUUGAACAAUUUUCCUUCUGCUUCAUAUUCUGGUUAGUCACUGAAAUGCACCUAGUCACUUACUUCUCUGUCCCCACGUAGUUUCUUCAGAAAAUGGCACUUACAUUUAUUUCUGUUUUCUCAAAUGGGUAUCAGGUGGAAAAUGUUGAGAAGAGUCAGCUACAUUUGGAAAUCACUCCACAAAGAAAAGUUGCUCUCUAAGGUAUUGUACUUACUAGUAAAGACAUAAUAAAAAUUAGAGAUAAAAAUGUAGUAGUUAGCCAAUUAUAUUUAGAGUUGGUUUAUUCAAAUGUAUUUUUGUUCUUAAUGGCCUACCCUAGAGGUGUUUGAAUGCCUCAGUAUUUGAAUGUCCAGAGAUAACCUGGAGAUGUGAGAUUUGUUCAGAGUGUGGCUAGAAAUCAAGGGCGUGAAUCUGUGAAGAGGAAAAGCAGAAAAAGAAAUCUGCAUAGAGGUAUGACGAACGAUGACAACGAAAUACCGUGUUUUUCUGAAAAGAAGACAACCUCUUUAUCUACAUAGUUUAAUUGGAAAAAGGGGGUGCACUGAAAUUUGAGAAAAUCAAUAUGUCUUGAUGAAAGGAAGCAGUUGAAGGUUAACAUGUUUAUUGAUAGUUAAACACAGCAUAGAAUUAGUUAGAUUAGAAUUAGAUUCAAACAAUUUAACCAAAGUAAAAGCGAGGAAGAAUGUUAAGAUAGAAAACACAGUGCCUGUAGUGCAAGUUAUACAGAAACGUGAGGUACAUAAGCUGAAGACAGUAAUCGCGUCACUUGUCGGAAGGACUAAUGCCGCAGACGCCAUGUUGGAAGGCAGGUGGGCAGUGGCCUGAGCUGUCCUUUCUUCCAACCCGGGAAUGAGUAAUACCUGCCGUGUGUCUGUUGGAUUUUAAAUGGUUCUCUGACCUCUUCUAGAAAUUUUCAGAAAUGAGGUGUUUUCUAAUCUGAAAAUCGGAUUACAUUCUCUAGGUCUUCUAGUUGCAAGAAUCUUCCUCAUAGUGCACCCUCCUGUGCCAUCUGCCUGGCUCUGGGCUCUGAAGAUGCGCGAGGCCAACCCGUUCUUUCUUCACUGUGACAGCCCUUUGUGAAUACUUGAAGAAUCUGGACGUGCUUUUUCCGAGUUGCUCUUCUCAACCUCAGUAUCUCCCAGUUUUCAAAUCAUCCUUCAUAGGAGCUUGUUUCCGUACUUUUCAACAUCCUGGGCCUCAGUUCCUCAAGGUUCCUUUGAAACUGUGGGGCUGACACCUCUGACAAGGUCUGAGCUUUGCUUGAAGGGCCAGUGGGCUCUUAUUCAUCCAGCUCAAGGUUAUGUUUCAUUUUGAAGGGUAGUCCUAUCAUGUUAUUGUUUAUAAAGAGAGUUUAGUAUUUUUAUUCCCAACCUUUCUGAGCCUUGGGUAUAUCUAUUCUAGGGUUUUUUGUUUGUUUUAUUUACAGACACUAAUUGAGCACCAUGCUGUUUCAGGUGCAGUGUCAGGCCCUGGGGGCAAAAGAUGGAUUAGAUUCUGACUGGAGGAUUUUAUGAUGUCUAUGUGGGAGUGACAGACACAUAAAAAAUAAUUACAAUGUGACGUGUGAUAGAAAUGUGAACUCGUGCUCUAAGAAUCUAAGAAAAGAAAUGAACUGCCUGGGAGGUGGGUAGGGACUAGUAAAGACUAACCAUUCAUGCCUUCAUUCAAUAAAUAAAUGUUUUCUGAGACUCUACUGUAUGCGAGACUCAUAGACACUCAUGUGUAUGAUUCUGAAUCCUCCAAGUAUGGUAUCAGGUCGUAUUUUUCUGGUUUAUCUCUGAAAGUUUAAUGAAAGAUUGUGAGAACUUCCUUGCUAUGUUCCCUUGGUCUUUUCAUCUUGUAAUACAAGAAGAGGUUAAUAUCGUGAAUAACUAUUGGUUCCUAACGAUUACUAAUUUCUUUUCAAAGUACUGAAAAACUACUUGUUUUAUAACUUGCUCUUGGAUUCGAAUAUCAAGUAAAACCCAUGUUGUAGUUUUACAGUUUCUAGAAUAUGCUUCUCCCCUUUCUUUGGAAUUUACCAUUUCUUCCCUUUGUUGUAAUUUCUCCAAGACCAAUAAAGGCAGUUUCAUGAUCACGUCUACAUUUUCUCCAGAUGCUCGUUUAUGAUUUGUUUGGCUGUGAGGACUGGAACUCAAAGUGGCUGGGUGCUCUCUUACUAUCUCUUCCUUACACUAGGCAUUUAUUCCGUCUAACUCAUGUUGUAAUUUUAAAAUUAAGUUUACUAAUUAAGACAACAGACAGAAAAUACUUGUGAGGAAUUCAGUACUCUGACCACAGUAU